AACGAACGCUGGCGGCAGGCCUAACACAUGCAAGUCGAGCGAGGACUUCGGUCCUAGCGGCGGACGGGUGAGUAACGCGUGGGAACGUGCCCUUUGCUUCGGAAUAGCCCUGGGAAACUGGGAGUAAUACCGGAUGAGCCCUUUGGGGGAAAGAUUUAUCGGCGAAGGAUCGGCCCGCGUUGGAUUAGGUAGUUGGUGGGGUAAUGGCCUACCAAGCCGACGAUCCAUAGCUGGUUUGAGAGGAUGAUCAGCCACACUGGGACUGAGACACGGCCCAGACUCCAACGGAGGCAGCAGUGGGGAAUCUUAGACAAUGGGGGAAACCCUGAUCUAGCCAUGCCGCGUGAGCGAUGAAGGCCUUAGGGUUGUAAAGCUCUUUCAGCGGGGAAGAUAAGGACGGUACCAGCAGAAGAAGCCCCGGCUAACUCCGU
rnacentral:rRNA from 1 species